GUGCUCGCUUCGGCAGUACAUAUACUAAAAUUGGAAUGAUACAGAGAUUAGCAUGGCCCCUGCACAAGGAUGACACGCAAAUUCAUGAUGUGUUCCAUAUUUUU
rnacentral:snRNA from 1 species